GGGAAAGGUAGGUAUUGGGGCAAUGUAAACAUGAUGGAGAGAGGUGAAAGGUAGGUAUUGGGGCAAUGUAAACAUGAUGGAGAGAGGGGAAAGGUAGGUAUUGGGGCAAUGUAAACAUGAUGGAGAGAGGGGAAAGGUAGGUAUUGGGGCAAUGUAAACAUGAUGGAGAGAGGGGAAAGGUAGGUAUUGGGGCAAUGUAAACAUGAUGGAGAGAGGGGAAAGGUAGGUAUUGGGGCAAUGUAAACAUGAUGGAGAGAGGGGAAAGGUAGGUAUUGGGGCAAUGUAAACAUGAGGGAGAGAGGGGAAAGGUAGGUAUUGGGGCAAUGUAAACAUGAGGGAGAGAGGGGAAAGGUAGGUAUUGGGGCAAUGUAAACAUGAGGGAGAGAGGGGAAAGGUAGGUAUUGGGGCAAUGUAAACAUGAUGGAGAGAGGGGAAAGGUAGGUAUUGGGGCAAUGUAAACAUGAUGGAGAGAGGGGAAAGGUAGGUAUUGGGGCAAUGUAAACAUGAGGGAGAGAGGGGAAAGGUAGGUAUUGGGGCAAUGUAAACAUGAUGGAGAGAGGGGAAAGGUAGGUAUUGGGGCAAUGUAAACAUGAGGGAGAGAGGGGAAAGGUAGGUAUUGGGGCAAUGUAAACAUGAUGGAGAGAGGGGAAAGGUAGGUAUUGGGGCAAUGUAAACAUGAGGGAGAGAGGGGAAAGGUAGGUAUUGGGGCAAUGUAAACAUGAGGGAGAGAUGGAGAGAGGGGAAAGGUAGGUAUUGGGGCAAU